rnacentral:rRNA from 1 species
GAGUUUGAUCAUGGCUCAGAUUGAACGCUGGCGGCAUGCCUUACACAUGCAAGUCGAACGGCAGCACGGGAGCUUGCUCCUGGUGGCGAGUGGCGAACGGGUGAGUAAUGCAUCGGAACGUACCCUGGAGUGGGGGAUAACGUAGCGAAAGUUACGCUAAUACCGCAUAUUCUGUGAGCAGGAAAGCGGGGGACCUUCGGGCCUCGCGCUCUUGGAGCGGCCGAUGUCGGAUUAGCUAGUUGGUGAGGUAAAGGCUCACCAAGGCGACGAUCCGUAGCAGGUCUGAGAGGAUGAUCUGCCACACUGGAACUGAGACACGGUCCAGACUCCUACGGGAGGCAGCAGUGGGGAAUUUUGGACAAUGGGGGCAACCCUGAUCCAGCCAUGCCGCGUGAGUGAAGAAGGCCUCGG